UUGACCUCGAAUCAGGUAGGAAUACCCGCUGAACUUAAGCAUAUCAAUAAGCGGAGGAAAAGAAACCAACAGGGAUUGCCCCAGUAACGGCGAGUGAAGCGGCAACAGCUCAAAUUUGAAAUCUGGCCCCCCGGGGCCCGAGUUGUAAUUUGCAGAGGAUGCUUUUGGCGAGGCGCCUUCCGAGUUCCCUGGAACGGGACGCCAUAGAGGGUGAGAGCCCCGUCUGGUUGGACGCCGAGCCUCUGUAAAGCUCCUUCGACGAGUCGAGUAGUUUGGGAAUGCUGCUCUAAAUGGGAGGUAUAUGUCUUCUAAAGCUAAAUACCGGCCAGAGACCGAUAGCGCACAAGUAGAGUGAUCGAAAGAUGAAAAGCACUUUGAAAAGAGGGUUAAAUAGUACGUGAAAUUGUUGAAAGGGAAGCGCUUGUGACCAGACUUGGGCCCGGCGGAUCACCCAGCGUUCUCGCUGGUGCACUCCGGCGCGGCCCAGGCCAGCAUCAGCUCGUCCCGGGGGACAAAGGCGGCGGGAAUGUGGCUCCUCCGGGAGUGUUAUAGCCCACCGCGCAAUGCCCUGGGGCGGGCUGAGGACCGCGCAUCUGCAUGGAUGCUGGCGUAAUGGUCAUCAGCGACCCGUCUUGAAACACGGACCAA
rnacentral:rRNA from 1 species